UUAAUUUUACUCUUACCUUUCCUACUCGAAGAAUAGCGGUUGUAAGAGGUCGAUCCACAGGGAGGCGAUUGGAGUUGCAUAAAAAUUAGAACGUUCACUCGGAUUUGAAACCGAUUUUUGAAUGAUAAAGGAAAAACAUUACUUCGGUGAUGUGGAAUGAUUCUCCAGUCUAUUAGAGAAUGUUUUCUAUUUGAAAAUAAACAAAGGAAAGAAAGAAAAUUUGCAAUUGAAAUUUGAUGUAGAGUAGAAGUCGAUUUCUAAAGACAG
rnacentral:lncRNA from 1 species